rnacentral:lncRNA from 1 species
AACUGCAAAAGCUAGAAAUCCAUGAUGAGUCUACCCCAUUAGAACCGCUAACACCUGAUUCCUCGCUGUUGGUUUCAGAUUCCUCUAAUGUACAUGUACUGUAAAUGAAUACUUUAAUUGUUGGAAACAUUUCUAAAAUAUCACAUUUCUAAAAUAUCCGAAAAUGAAAAGGCUGCAAACAUACAAACGCCAUCAUAACAACAAAGAAAGUGCGCAAUUAGAUUCUUCAAAAGAAAUUAAAAAGACCAAAAUAAACAUGUAUCACAUAACAGAUUCAGUCAUUAUCACAAUAAACUCUCAAAUUAGCACAGUUUUCAGGCUAAGUACACGAUUUAAGCAGACCGAAAGAUAGAUGACCAAGCCAAGGUUUUUAUAUAAAGCAUCAAAUAAUUUUGUUUCAAAAUAUGAAUAUUUCUCAACUUUCUUGUGAGUAGCGAAAUUUGAACUCCAAAAUGGACCCCAAUUACUCCCACACAACUCAAGAAGUCAUUCAUAAUCUCCUAAUAUAUAAAAUUAAACUAAAAAAUGAAUGUUGAUAAAAAAAAAAAUGACUGCCUACAUAAAUAUAGAUCAAAACACCAACAUUAAUUGGGCAUCAAAACAGAGUUCGAUAAACUAAUUUUACCGUAACCUCUUAAUAGUGAUGCAUGUCUUAUAAGUUAUAUCCAUCAGAUUGAACACAAAAACUAUAAUAUUUAAUUUUAUUGGUGAAUUCAUACAUACUUUUCCGGAGCAUUGUAAGCAUCUGAAUCAGUACAAAACGCUUUAACUAAUCAAAAUGAUUCCUAAUCCAAAAAAUAAAAAUUGAAAAAAAUACGAUCCCACAAUAAAAGAUUAAGGUGGCACGUUCGAUGAUUGAUUGGCAUACUGUAAAUUUCUUCAAAUUCUAUACAUGUAAUUAAACAAUUUAUCCGAUAAGUAAUGGGCAAUCAAAAAUAUAUGUAUCUUACCUCCUACAAAAGAUGAACGUGGCAGUAAAAGUUGAUAUAUUCAGAAACCACAAUCUUUAGAAAGAAGGCCCUCAUCCUCAAAAAAUAGGCAAUAAUGGACAAAAUAACGUUAUUGCAGAAAAAGGGCCCCAUUAACAUUUAGUGACGUUUUUCUAGUUUCGUUAUUCUAUUUAACUGGAAAGCUACACGAUGUUCCGUUUAAGUUUUUAUAUUAAAAAAACUAGGUGAGAAAACGCGCUUCGCGCGUUUGUGAAAUAUUUUUUAAAAAUAUUUACAAGAAAAAGAAUAAAAUAUACAAAACACAUGAUCAGAGUAAAUACAAAACUCAAUGCCAAGAUUAGAAGCAACUCAAUUUUUGAAUAUGUAUGAACAUACGUCAAAGAAUAGAUUUUGCCAAUAAACUUAUUAUUGAUCGGCAGGAGAAGUUAAUACACAAAAGCUGAUAAAUUUUUUACGAAUAUGUCAUUCCAUUUUCAAUAUCUUAAUCCAUCAAAUCACAAUUUCAAAGGCAUAAUAAGUUACAGAGAAAUAAAAAUGGUGAUUUUAACCUAUUUCUUUUCCCACCAAGAUUAAUUAGAAUGAAUUGCAGAAUAGAAUCCCGUUGAGUGGGAGAAUGUUAUGGUAAUUCCAGAAAAGAAAAGGGAAAAAGAUAGCAACAUAUCUAGUUGAUACUCAACAUUUGGAGCAGAUAGUUGCAAGCCUUAGCAGCAGCGGCAAUCAACUCAUCCGCUGCUUAGUUCCAUUUCAAGGUCUCCAGAUUACCUUCCAUUUUUCCUUUUGCUGACAUUCUUAUUCGGCACAUAUUUUCUUGUUGAGGAUCCUGAAGAAAUUGAUAGUACAACAUAAUCGGGUGAUCUUCUUGCAGUCAAACCUCCGGACUUGAGAGAAGGCACGAAGUUAAACAGAUAUUCGGAUUCACUUGUGUCCCUGUAAUAAUAAAUGAUCCGCCUGACAUCACUAUAGAGUUUCGAAGAACAAAAGUCUUGAAUCAUCUGAUCAAGUCCAAGACAACUAAGAAGCUCAAUAGCUCUUUCACACUUUUCAUCACUUACUCCAAAACUCCCUUGGCAAAAUCUAGAUCCCCAUCUGCCUAACUAUGGCCUUCCAUAUGUUGUGCAAUACUGUGAAGCAACCGUAGAUCCAUAUCUCCC